GCCGAGGUAGCUCAGGUGGUAGAGCGCGGCCCUGAAAAGGCCGGCGUCGACGGUUCAACUCCGCCCCUCGGCACCA
rnacentral:tRNA from 2 species